UAUCUCUGUAGAGUCUGCAUAUCAAUAAGCGGAGGAAAAGAAACUAACUAGGAUUCCCUCAGUAACGGCGAGUGAAGCGGGAAGAGCUCAAAUUUGAAAUCUUCAAGGUUCUACCUUGACGAAUUGUAGUUUAAAGAAGUGUUUUCUGUUGGAGUUUUGGUAAAAGUUCUUUGGAAUAGGACAUCAUAGAGGGUGAGAAUCCCGUAUUUGACCAUUUACUUUCAGCUUUGUGAUACACUUUCAAAGAGUCGGAUUGUUUGGGAAUGCAGUCCAAAAUGGGUGGUAAAUUCCAUCUAAAGCUAAAUAUUGGCGAGAGACCGAUAGCGAACAAGUACCGUGAGGGAAAGAUGAAAAGAACUUUGAAAAGAGAGUUAAACAGUACGUGAAAUUGUCAAAAGGGAAGCGUUUGACACCAGUGUUGUUUUCUCGAAAAUCAAUUAAAAAAAGUUGGAUUUUGUAUUGUUAAGACCUUAUCAGCUUACUGUACUCUUUUCUUGCUUUUUUAAUGCACUUUUCGUUUAACAAGUCAACAUCAAUUUCUUUUGUUGUAAAAGAGUCAUUGGAAGGUGGCUUUCACUUCGGUGAAAGUGUUUAUAGCCUUUGGCUUCUGCAAUCGGAGAGAUUGAGGUCUGCAGCGUAGAUCCUUCGGGGCUAGAUACGUAGAUGCUAAGUUAUAGUUUUUUAUAGACAACUUGUUGACUAUAAUUAAUCAUGUAGCUUACUCGUUUGCGCUAUUUUACCUACGCUUAGGAUGUUGACGAUCAGCUGAGCGCG
rnacentral:rRNA from 1 species